GAAAAAGUGAAAAAAACUGCAUUAGGUUGUGUUAGGCCAUGACUCAUUUGCAAUUGUGUUUUUGAUUUCCUCCAUAUACUAAUUAAUGUUUUUUACCUUGAGUGAUAGAUGGGUGUUCUUCCCAAGUUUCCAGCUGGCGGUCUGAAUGAGAGAAGCUCAUUGACAUUACCAAAGGUGAGUGUUCACCCCAAUGAUCUUGUGGCUCAUCUGCCUGGGAGAAGCUCAUGGGAACAUCUGGAGCUGAGAAUGAUGGAACUGCUGGGGAAAGUCUCAAAACGGGCCUGCUCUGGCUUCUCCAUGGCCCUUUGGUGGUGAUUAACAAGUGCUGUUGAAAGAAUUG